AUUUAUAUAGUUUAGAAAAAACAUUACACUUUCACUGUAAAGACAAAGAUAACCUUUUAUAAAUA
rnacentral:tRNA from 1 species